rnacentral:rRNA from 1 species
AGGAUUAACGCUGGCGGCGUGCCUAACACAUGCAAGUCGAACGAGGUAGCAAUACCUAGUGGCAGACGGGUGAGUAACGCGUGGUCAACCUGCCCUUGAGCGGGGGAUAACUAGCCGAAAGGUUAGCUAAUACCGCAUACGUCUAGGAUGGCAUCAUCCAAAGAUAAAAGCCGCAAGGCACUCGAGGAGGGGACCGCGUCCCAUUAGUUAGUUGGUGGGGUAACGGCCUACCAAGACUCCGAUGGGUAGCUGGUUUGAGAGAGCGACCAGCCACACUGGGACUGAGAAACGGCCCAGACUCCUACGGGAGGCAGCAGUGAGGAAUUUUCCGCAAUGGGCGAAAGCCUGACGGAGCGACGCCGCGUGUGGGAAGAAGGCCUUCGGGUCGUAAACCACUGUCGAAGGGGACGAUAUUGACGGUACCCUUGGAGGAAGCCCGGCUAACUACGCGCCAGCAGCCGC